rnacentral:rRNA from 1 species
AUUGAACGCUGGCGGCAGGCCUAACACAUGCAAGUCGAACGAGUGGCGGACGGGUGAGUAAUGUCUGGGGAACUGCCUGAUAGAGGGGGAUAACUACUGGAAACGGUAGCUAAUACCGCAUACCAUCGGAUGUACCCAUAUGGGAUUAGCUAGUUGGUGGGGUAAAGGCUCACCAAGGCGACGAUCCCUAGCUGGUCUGAGAGGAUGAUCAGCCACACUGGGACUGAGACACGGCCCAGACUCCUACGGGAGGCAGCAGUGGGGAAUAUUGCACAAUGGGCGCAAGCCUGAUGCAGCCAUGCCGCGUGUAUGAAGAAGGCCUUAGGGUUGUAAAGUACUUUCAGCGGGGAGGCGUUACCCGCAGAAGAAGCACCGGCUAACUCCGUGCCAGCAGCCGCGGUAAUAC